rnacentral:tRNA from 1 species
GGCAGUAUAGCGUAGUGGUAAGGAGCUGGGCUCGUAACCAAAAGGUUGCUGGUUCAAUUCCCAAUUGCUU